AGCCAAGGCAGGCGCUCACUGGACACCCUCCAACCUGGGCGGCGGCUGCUCCUAGACAGGCACUCUGCAAUUCUUGGAAUGCACCUGGAAGGCCGGCCUCCGGCCCUCCACACCGGGCUCCAGGGCCCCUUCCAGAGCAGGAGGCCUUCUUGCCCUCCCUCAAGCUGGGCUUUGGGUCUCCUGGUGCACUCCUGGACCCGAGCAUUGGUGCCUGCCCUGGUACCACCUGAGGGUGGGGUGGAGGGCACGGGCGGGGCUGACUCAUCUGCGUUGGGAGCUGAUGCCUGGCAGCGGUGCUGGCCAGUGGGUGUGUUUGUUGAUCCAGUGAAUGGAGGAAUGUGAGGAGGUUGGUGGGGAGUGAGCUUUGACCUGCAGCCACCUCCCCUGUCCACCUGCCUGGGGGAAAGUCAGAGUCCUGAGUCUCACUCAGAGGCUGGAGCAGGAGGUCAGGUGUGGGCGAGGGGUCCACCUUUCCUGCCCUGAUGGGGGAGGGAGGCCCAGCGCCCCCAGGGCCGCUCCUGCCUGGGGCUGUCUCCCUUGCACCCAGUCAUGCUUCCGAGCUGCACACCUGGUCCAGAGAGGCCAGCACAGGCCGGAGCAGGGUGAAGAAGGUGGGGUGAACGUGAUUUAGUUGGAGAGAGGUUGGAGAAGUCCCUGGGGUCGGCAGGGAGUGCAGAGGAGGGCUUUGGGCCCUGAUUCUGUCAGGCUUGAACCCACCAUGCCCGGGGCAGCAGGGUUCAACCCGGCUUGAGCACUGAUUUUCUAAGACAUACAGAGGCCCCCUCCUCUUUUCCUUCAGUGGCUCACCCUCAACCCUCUGUACCUCCAGCGCUCCCAGACUCCAUCCCGGCCCUAUUCUGAGCUUGCUUCCUGGCCCUGGGGUUGAAGAGAGGACCGAUUUGGCCUGAGAAACACACCACCUGCAGUCACUGGUGCAAGAGUGGCCCUGCCACUGUAGGCCUGUGGAGAGCUUGCCUCUACCUCUUGCUGGAAGAUUGGGAUGAGGGGAGAGCAGGCCUUGGCACCGACAGCUUGAGUUCUGCUAGAAACAGGCAGGCAGGCGUGGGCGUUCUGAGAGAAAUCCUCCCAGCCUGAUGUUGGUGCCGCCGUGCAGUCAGGACAGCCCUGCAUGCAGCAGGCGGCCACUUGCAGGCCCAGAAGGGCUUCCUGGGGUCCACCUGAGCAGCAGCCANNNNNNNNNNCCAUCCAUCUGCCCAUCCCUUCAUCCAUCUACCCAUCCACCUACCCAUCAUCCACUCAUCCACCCAUGCUCCCAUCUACCCACCCAUUCAUCCACUCAUCCACCCACCCUCAUCCAUUCAUCUGCCCAUUCAUUCAUCCAUCCACCCACCCAUCGAUCCAUCCACCCACCAUCCACUUACCCAUCGGCCUACCCACCCAUCAUCCACUCAUCCACCCAUCCACCCACCUACCCACCCAUUCAUCCACCCAUCCUCCCACCCUUAUCCAUCCAUCUGCCCAUCCAUUCAUCCAUCCACCCAUCCACCAACACAUCCAUCCACCUACUCAUCCACCCAUCCACCUACCCAGCCAUCAUCCACUCAUCCACCCAUCCCCCCACCUACCCACCCAUUCAUCCACCCAUCCACCCACCCACCCACCCUUUCAUCCACCCAUCCACCCACUCACCCUUCCAGCUGUGGCACCUUGGGCAGCUGUUCUGCUCUAUGCUUGCUGACAAGGACACGACCGCCCCCAGUCACCUCCAGCCAGGUCCUUCCUCCCACAUCCCUGCCCCUCCCUUGGCU
rnacentral:lncRNA from 1 species